CGGACGUGAUGUCAAAGUGCCACCCUGACCCGCUGUGGAGGGAGAAAGACUGAUUUAAUGAGGCUGAUCC
rnacentral:snoRNA from 1 species